GCGACUGUUUACUAAAAACACAGCUCCGUGCGAAGUCGCAAGACGAUGUAUACGGACUGACGCCUGCCCGGUGCUGGAAGGUUAAGGGGAACUGUGAGUGUAUGCGUAGCGGUGAACUUAAGCCCCAGUAAACGGCGGUGGUAACUAUAACCAUCCUAAGGUAGCGAAAUUCCUUGUCGGGUAAGUUACGACCUGCACGAAUGGCGUAACGAC
rnacentral:rRNA from 1 species